rnacentral:rRNA from 1 species
GAUGAACGCUGGCGGCGUGCCUAAUACAUGCAAGUCGAGCGAACAGACGAGAGUGCUUGCACUCUCUGACGUUAGCGGCGGACGGGUGAGUAACACGUGGGUAACCUACCUAUAAGACUGGGAUAACUUCGGGAAACCGGAGCUAAUACCGGAUAAUAUUUAGCUUCGCAUGAAGCAAUAGUGAAAGACGGUUCUGCUGUCACUUAUAGAUGGACCCGCGGUGUAUUAGCUAGUUGGUGAGGUAACGGCUCACCAAGGCAACGAUACAUAGCCGACCUGAGAGGGUGAUCGGCCACACUGGGACUGAGACACGGCCCAGACUCCUACGGGAGGCAGCAGUAGGGAAUCUUCCGCAAUGGACGAAGGUCUGACGGAGCAAUGCCGCGUGAGUGAAGAAGGUUUUCGGAUCGUAAAACUCUGUUGUAAGGGAAGAACAAGUACGUUAGUAACUGAACGUACCUUGACAGUACCUUACCAGAAAGCCACGGCUAACUACGUG